rnacentral:lncRNA from 1 species
UAAAAAGAUAUCCGCUUCAUUUUACUGUAUUAGGAGGAAUCGAAAAUUGGGUCAUAUGGGUACAUGAUGUGAAAAAAAUUUGUUCCAGUGAAUGAUCAUCCGGCUUUAAUCUGGUCAUAUCUUCUACGAAUCUUGACAUUUCAGCUAGUUUACUCAGUAUCUACUUCUGCAGUUCUAUUAUUUCUGUUGGUUUUACAGCGGAGAGGUUCAAAUGCGUUCCUUUCAGCCAAUAAAUGUGCGGAACCGGUGGC